rnacentral:rRNA from 1 species
GAUGAACGCUGGCGGCGUGCCUAAUACAUGCAAGUCGAGCGAACAGACGAGGAGCUUGCUCCUCUGACGUUAGCGGCGGACGGGUGAGUAACACGUGGAUAACCUACCUAUAAGACUGGGAUAACUUCGGGAAACCGGAGCUAAUACCGGAUAAUAUAUUGAACCGCAUGGUUCAAUAGUGAAAGACGGUUUUGCUGUCACUUAUAGAUGGAUCCGCGCCGCAUUAGCUAGUUGGUAAGGUAACGGCUUACCAAGGCGACGAUGCGUAGCCGACCUGAGAGGGUGAUCGGCCACACUGGAACUGAGACACGGUCCAGACUCCUACGGGAGGCAGCAGUAGGGAAUCUUCCGCAAUGGGCGAAAGCCUGACGGAGCAACGCCGCGUGAGUGAUGAAGGUCUUCGGAUCGUAAAACUCUGUUAUUAGGGAAGUACAAAUGUGUAAGUAACUAUGCACGUCGUGACGGUACCUAAUCAGAAAGCCACGGCUAACUACG